CAUGUCUUUUUGAUUAUGAUUUAAAGUCUGGCCUGCCCUAUGAAUUAUUUAAAUGGCCGCGGUAUUUUAACCGUGCAAAGGUAGCAUAAUAAUUAGUUUUUUAAUUGAGAACUGGUAUGAAUGGUUAGACGAGAAAAAUUCUGUCUCAAUUUAAUUUAAAUUAGAAUUUUAUUUUUAAGUUAAAAAGCUUAAAUAAAUUUAGAAGACGAGAAGACCCUAUAGAGUUUUAUAUUAAUUAUAUUAUUUAUAAUAUAAAGUAUUUUUAUUUAAUUAAAAUAUAUUAGUAUUUAAUUGGGGUGAUUGAAAAAUUAAAUAAACUUUUUUUAAUUAAAAACAUUGAUAUAUGAAUUAAUGAUCCAUUUUUAUAUGAUUAUAAGAUUAAAUUACCUUAGGGAUAACAGCGUUAUUUUUUUUAAGAGUUCUUAUCGAAAAAAAAGUUUGCGACC
rnacentral:rRNA from 1 species